rnacentral:piRNA from 1 species
UGCUUGACUUGGGUAGAAUAAUUCUGC